AACGAACGCUGGCGGCAUGCCUAACACAUGCAAGUCGAACGAAGUCUUCGGACUUAGUGGCGCACGGGUGCGUAACGCGUGGGAAUCUGCCCUUGGGUGCGGAAUAACUUCUCGAAAGGGAUGCUAAUACCGCAUAAUGUCGUAAGACCAAAGAUUUAUCGCCCAAGGAUGAGCCCGCGUAAGAUUAGCUAGUUGGUGGGGUAAAGGCCUACCAAGGCGACGAUCUUUAGCUGGUCUGAGAGGAUGAUCAGCCACACUGGGACUGAGACACGGCCCAGACUCCUACGGGAGGCAGCAGUGGGGAAUAUUGGACAAUGGGCGAAAGCCUGAUCCAGCAAUGCCGCGUGAGUGAUGAAGGCCUUAGGGUUGUAAAGCUCUUUUACCCGAGAUGAUAAUGACAGUAUCGGGAGAAUAAGCUCCGGCUAACUCCGUGCCAGCAGCCGCGGUAAU
rnacentral:rRNA from 1 species